AUUGAACGCUGGCGGCAGGCCUAACACAUGCAAGUCGAGCGAGCGGCGGACGGGUGAGUAAUGCCUAGGAAUCUGCCUGAUGGAGGGGGAUAACUACUGGAAACGGUAGCUAAUACCGCAUACCAUCGGAUGUGCCCAGAUGGGAUUAGCUAGUAGGUGGGGUAACGGCUCACCUAGGCGACGAUCGCUAGCUGGUCUGAGAGGAUGACCAGCCACACGGGAACAAAGACACGGUCCAGACUCCUACGGGAGGCAGCAGUGGGGAAUAUUGCACGAUAGACGCAAGCCUGAUGCAGCCAUGCCGCGUGUAUGAAGAAGGCCUUCGGAUUAUAAAGUACUUUCAGCGGGGAGGCGUUACCCGCAGAAGAAGCGCCGGCUAACUCCGUGCCAGCAGCCGCGGUAAUAC
rnacentral:rRNA from 1 species